AUGACCAAAAUGCGGCACAAACAGCAACAAACAGUAACCAUUCUGCUGAGGGGCUCACCAGCCAAGAAAAUGCCUGAUUCUUUGGGCUGGGAAGAUAAUAAAUUGUCUUUUUUCUUUCAGGUUUGUCUGCAGUGCAGAAAGAUGACUUCCCAGUGCAAGCAGCCCUGCCUGUCCCCCUCCACCUGCAUGGGGGAGGUUGCGCACACAGAGACAUGCACAUCACAUCGUGCCGUGGUGGACCUGGAUGCUUGCCCUGUGCAGGACAUGCCCCCCUGUCCUGAGCAGACUUUCCAAGUGGAUCCCUGCCCAUGUCAGGAUACUGCCGCCUGUAUGAUUGCCUGUCCUGAGGUUGGGCUCACCCACCCUCCUCCUGCUGUCUCCGUGCCUGAGGAUAUCUGCUGCCCUGAGCACACUGCUGCCUGCGACCCCAGUUCUCCUCCCUGUGUGAGUGCCUGUGUGUGCCCAGCAGUGGCCCCCUGUGAACCUGCUCAAAGCAAGGGAGGGACCAACUUCCCAUUCCAGCCCACAGCCUUGCCAGUGGAGUUCUGCACCCCUGAGACAGCUGGGAUGGGUGUGAAAACCUUCCCCGAGCAGUACUCAACCUCAUCAACGGAUCCCUGCACGGAGACAGUUGGCACUGGUGCCAAAGCUUUCCCCCUCCAGCACCGAAUCCUCACAGUGGAGCUCUGUCCCACUGACACAGGCGGGGCAGGCAUGGAGACCUUCCCCCUCCAUCAAGCAAUCUCACCGGUGGAGCCUUGCACCCCUGAGAUGGCUGGGACCUGUGUGGAAAACAUCUCCUUGCAGCACCCAAUCUCAGCUGUGGAGCCCUGCACCCUUGAGGUGAUUGAGACCAAUAUGGAAGAACCUUGCUGUGGGCAGGGUGUGAUCACUGGUGAUCCCUGCCCAGAUCAGUGCUCAGUUACAUGUGUGGAUCCCUGUUCAUCCCAAAGUCCAGUUUGUAUGGAGCCAUGCAUGUCCCAGAGCACUGCAGAACCCACGGGGACGUUCGCAUCCCAGAGCCCAGUGGAGCUGUGCACACAUGCAGACACCAGCUCUGCCAAGGGCAUGGUCAAGGGUAGUGGAGCCUGCCCGGCCCCUCAAACACCUUUCCGCUUGAACACCCGCACCACCGCCGUUGUGGAGCGCUGCCUUUCCAGGUGUCAAAACUGGCUGCGAGGCAAGAGAUAA
rnacentral:lncRNA from 14 species